AGGGAAUCUUCCGCAAUGGACGAAAGUCUGACGGAGCAACGCCGCGUGAGUGAUGAAGGUUUUCGGAUCGUAAAGCUCUGUUGCCAGGGAAGAACGUCCGUUAGAGUAACUGCUAACGGAGUGACGGUACCUGAGAAGAAAGCCCCGGCUAACUACGUGCCAGCAGCCGCGGUAAUACGUCGGGGGCGAGCGUUGUCCGGAAUUAUUGGGCGUAAAGCGCGCGCAGGCGGCUGUUUAGGUCUGGGGGUUAAUCCUGGGGCUCAACCCCGGGUCGCACUGGAAACUGGACAGCUUGAGUGCAGAAGAGGAGAGUGGAAUUCCACGUGUAGCGGUGAAAUGCGUAGAGAUGUGGAGGAACACCAGUGGCGAAGGCGACUCUCUGGGCUGUAACUGACGCUGAGGCGCGAAAGCGUGGGGAGCAAAC
rnacentral:rRNA from 1 species